AGGUCCAUUAGAGCUUUAUCUGCUGGAAGAAGACUGAGGAUAUGAUCAACUGUCUCCUGCUACUUGGGACAAAGCAUCAAUUUACUUGGCCAGGCUACAGACCCUCUUGGAAAACCUGCUUGAAUCUCCCAAAAGAGAGGCCAGGAAAGAUAUCAGUGUUGAAUCAUGAAGGACAAUUUCAAUGGAAGCCAGUGCAGCCCAGACCAAGCUAUAGGAUGAGAGCAAUUAGAGAUAGAAAUGUAUCUUAAGGCCCUAAGUCGGCAAGCAUGGAAACACACGCUUCAGCAG